rnacentral:rRNA from 1 species
ACUCCUACGGGAGGCAGCAGUGAGGAAUAUUGGACAAUGGGCGCAAGCCUGAUCCAGCCAUGCCGCGUGAGUGAAGAAGGCCUUCGGGUUGUAAAGCUCCUUUGUCAGGGAAGAAAAGGCUAUGGAUAAUACCUGUGGCUCAUGACGGUACCUGAAGAAUAAGCACCGGCUAACUACGUGCCAGCAGCCGCGGUAAU